CAGUGUCCUAAAUCACAUGACCUCAUUGACCCUCCCUUCCGCUUUUCCGCUUUGCUUUUUUCUCUUACUAUAUGCCAAUGCUAGCCUGGUCUGGGUUGAUAUUGAUUGGUGCACUCAGGAAAAAAAAAUCCUGAUGCUUUCCUGAUGCUAUAAAAAGACCUGUUUGUGCAGGCUCAGCUUUGCAGAAUUUCCAUCCCACUGCACAACUCUUCAGCUGUCCUCUGCAGCAACCAUGAGCUCUAUCGGACAGGCAGUGGCCCAUAGCAGCAGAGAAGGCUACGGAGGAAGCAACACUCAUUUCCACUCCAUGUACCCCAUCUACUCCUUCCCAUCAUGGAGCCGUGGUCCCUCCUCCUCUGCAGUGGUGCAGCUUUCUUCUAGCCCAGAGCUGGACCUAAGCAAGGGCUCUCAGAAAACGUCUUGAGGGCGAAGAAACUCAAUUCAGUGUAGAGGGGUUCUAUCCACUGUUCUCUGUGCAAUCAAGCCUGAGCUCUGCUACACCACCAGAUUGCCACAACAACAAGCACGGUUGAACAGACUGUGACCAGCCUUCCACAAAAAAAAGAGGAGGAAGAAGUUGAAGAAAACAAGGAUGAUAAGGAGGAGAGAAGGAAGAGGAGAAGCUAAAAGAGAAAAAGAAGGUGAGGAAGCUGGGGAAAAAGAUGCUGGAGAAGAAGAUGAAGAGGGAGGAGAAGGCGAUGAAGGUGGGGAGAAAGAGGGAGAGGAGUUUAAACCUGAAGAAACUGAGGAGGGAUGGAGUGAUGGAGAAGAACAAGAGGAUGAUGAUGUUUGAUAAGAUGAUAAGAUGAUGAGGAAGUUAUAUGAUACUGCAGACUGCCUAUGAUAACACGUGUGCUUUGUGUAUUAAUGAAAAUUCCUUAAACACAAAUUGUCGAAUAAAAAUGU